CCUACGGGUGGCAGCAGUCGAGAAUCAUUCACAAUGGGGGCAACCCUGAUGCUGCGACGCCGCGUGGGGGAAUGAAGGUCUUCGGCUUGUAAACCCCUGUCAUGUGGGAGCAAAUUAAAACGGUAGUACCACAAGAGGACGCGACGGCUAACUCUGUGCCAGCCGCCGCGGUAAUACGGAGGUCGCAAGCGUUGUUCGGAAUCAUGGGGAGUAGAGGGUGCGUAGGCUGUUACGUAAGUCGUGUGUGAAUGGCGCGGGCUCAACCCGCGGACGGCAUAUGAUACUGCGUGACUAGAGGAAUGGAGGGGGAACCGGAAUUCUCGGUGUAGCAGUGAAAUGCGUAGAUAUCGAGAGGAACACUCGUGGCGAAGGCGGGUUCCUGGACAUUAACUGACGCUGAGGCACGAAGGCCAGGGGAGCGAAAGGGAUUAGAUACCCUAGUAGUC
rnacentral:rRNA from 1 species